UGGAUCCGCAAAGUCGGCCCGGGGAAUUCAACUUGCCGUUUGGGCUGCGGGCGUUGGGUCAGGGAUCCGUAAAGACCCGCCUGGCGUUCGGCAGUCGUCGGCGAGUGCACUUUCCUCGGGUAGAGCGCCACGACCGGUUUCGGAGCGGUCAUAAGCCGGCUGGGAAGGUGACUUCCUCCUCGGAGGAAGUGUUAUAGCCCGGCCAGGUCGGCUCGUUCCGAGACCGAGGAUUUGCCGCGUCUCACUGCCCCUGGCUCUCUGGGUGCGUUCGACUGGGGAAGCACUGCUUGCAGUUCUCUCCGACUGCGUGCCUUGAUUGGUCGGGAAGCACGAGGCGCUUCGGGUCAGUGGCGAAUCGGUCGGUCCUCCACCCGACCCGUCUUGAAACACGGACCAAGGAGUCUAACAUGUGCGCAAGUCAUGGGGUUCUGUACGAAACCUAAAGGCGCAAUGAAAGUGAAGGUCAACCUCCGGUAGGCCUAGGUAGGAUCCCCGCGAGGGGCGCACUACCGGCCCGUCUCGACCACAUCGUUGGUGGGGCGGAGCAAGAGCGUACACGUUGGGACCCGAAAGAUGGUGAACUAUGCCUGAGUAGGACGAAGCCAGAGGAAACUCUGGUGGAGGUCCGUAGCGAUUCUGACGUGCAAAUCGAUCGUCAAACUUGGGUAUAGGGGCGAAAGACUAAUCGAACC
rnacentral:rRNA from 1 species